rnacentral:tRNA from 2 species
GCGAUCGUGGCGAAGUGGUUAACGCAUCGGUUUGUGGCACCGACACUCGUGGGUUCGAUUCCCAUCGGUCGCCCUA